CCACGUGGCAAACAGGAUCUUAGCUCCCUGACCGGGGGACGAACCUUUGCCCCCUGCAGUGGAAGCAGAGGGGUCUUAACUGCUGGACUGCCAGGGAAGUCCCUCCACGUGGACUUCUGACCUCUCUACCUGUGAGCCCUGUGAAGGUUCUUUGAGAAUACACACAGCCACUUUCUUGACGAAGAAAUUAGAUUUGGAGAAGUUAAGUAGGUCUGCUGGCAGGUGAUGGAGCUCUUUUCACACCCACAUGCUGAUUUUACAUAGUAGCCUCACUCUGAAUCAGACUUGACAAGAGCAUCUCUCAUGGGCCAGGCGUGGUACUGGGAGCCACAGGAGACACUAGCCGAGUCAGACCACCCCAACCCUUGUGGAACCUCAUGGGAGGGAAGUGACACAGGUCUUUGACAUGAAGCAGAGAUUGACCUGAGUUGGGCACAGAUGAAGUCCUUGACUGGAGAAAAUCAGUAAAGGCUUCUGGAAAGAAGGACAUUUGAGAAAGAGUGGUGUUGACUGAAAUAAAAAUAUUGGUAAAAAUAAAAAAUUGAUAAUGAGACCAGCCAGGAGUGUGGUCUAACUGGCAUAAAGGAUGGUGAAGUUGCAGGGAUAGGAUAUGGACAUAUCCAGGGCCUGGAAUGACGUUUGCUUGCUCAAAUCCAGCACUGCUACGGAUGUAGAAAACAAACUUAUGGUUACCAGGGGAUAAGGGUGGGGGAAGGGAUAAACUGGGAGAUUGGGACUGACAUAUACACACUACUAUAUAUAAACUAGAUAACUGAUUAGAACCUGCUGUAGAGCACAGGGAACUCUACUCAGUACUCUGUAAUGGCCUAUACACGAAAAGAAUCUAUAAA